GACGAACGCUGGCGGCGUGCUUAACACAUGCAAGUCGAACGGAAAGGCCCUGCUUUUGUGGGCUGCUCGAGUGGCGAACGGGUGAGUAACACGUGAGUAACCUGUCCCUGACUUUGGGAUAACUUCAUGAAACUGGGGCUAAUACCGGAUAGGAGCUCCUGCUGCAUGGUGGGGGUUGGUUAGUUUCGGCGGUUGGGGAUGGACUCGCGGCGUAUCAGAUUGGUGGUGGGGUAGUGUCUUACCAAGGCCUUGACGGGUAGCCGGGCUGAGAGGGUGACCGGCCACACUGGGACUGAGAUGCGGCACAGCCUCCUAUGGGAGGGAACGGUGGGGAAUAUAGCACAAUAGGCGGAAGGAUGAUGCAGCAACGCCGCGUGGGGGAUGAGGGGAAUCGGGUAGGAAAGCGCUGUCGCUUGUGACGAGGCGUGAGUGACGGUAAUGGGUAAAGAAGCACCGGCUAACUACGUG
rnacentral:rRNA from 1 species